rnacentral:rRNA from 1 species
ACGCUCGACACCUACUGGAGGCAGCAGUGGGGAAUAUUGCACAAUGGGGGAAACCCUGAUGCAGCGACGCCGCGUGGAGGAAGAAGGUCUUCGGAUUGUAAACUCCUGUUGUUGGGGAAAAAGAGGAUGGUACCCAACAAGGAAGUGACGGCUAACUACGUGCCCGCAGCCGCGGUAAUCUGAGCGGGCUGGCAAGGC